GAUGAACGCUGGCGGCGUGCCUAAUACAUGCAAGUCGAGCGAAUGGAUUAAGAGCUUGCUCUUAUGAAGUUAGCGGCGGACGGGUGAGUAACACGUGGGUAACCUGCCCAUAAGACUGGGAUAACUCCGGGAAACCGGGGCUAAUACCGGAUAACAUGUUGAACCGCAUGGUUCGAAAUUGAAAGGCGGCUUCCGCUGUCACUUAUGGAUGGACCCGCGUCGCAUUAGCUAGUUGGUGAGGUAACGGCUCACCAAGGCAACGAUGCGUAGCCGACCUGAGAGGGGGAUCGGCCACACUGGGACUGAGACACGGCCCAGACUCCUACGGGAGGCAGCAGUAGGGAAUCUUCCGCAAUGGACGAAAGUCUGACGGAGCAACGCCGCGUGAGUGAUGAAGGCUUUCGGGUCGUAAAACUCUGUUGUUAGGGAAGAACAAGUGCUAGUUGAAUAAGCUGGCACCUUGACGGUACCUAACCAGAAAGCCACGGCUAACUACGUGCCAGCCGCCGCAGUAA
rnacentral:rRNA from 1 species